AUUAAUGCCUGUUUAGCAAAUUACAGCUUCCCCGGCACCUCCUGCUCCUGGGAGAGAAGGAGCCUUGGAAACGGAAAAUAAAAACAAAUCUCAGCGCUCCGUGUCAAGGCUUGGCCGUGGCCAUGACAGCUGGGCCCGACUCGACAGAGCGUGGAGGCUUAGCAAAGCCAGGAGCUGUGCUGGUGAGAUUUCUGGUCUCAAGAAUCAGAGAGGAGAGGCCCAUCAAGCUGAGAUACCGGGGAGGCACCUGACGGAGCUGUGUCUGCCAAGCCUGCCUUGUGUCCAGGUAACCAGCCAGAAAGACGACCUUGUUUCCUCAAGGGCUGGGGAGGGAGACACGGGCCCGGCUGGCUUGGAGCCCAAGGUAGAGGGGCGCGGGGAGGGGAGCCAGGAUGUGCUGAGCUGGCAGGUUGAGCACUGCCCGUGCACAGCUCUGCAUACAUUUUGUGCCUUCGAUGUCCUCACCUUGGAGGAGAGUCGUAGCUUGUGUUCUAACCAGCUGUCCCAGUGUGUGAGGUUUCACAUGAUUUACUAAAGGGGGGGAAACAUUUGUUUCUUGCCGCAGACAUCCAAGAGAGCCCUCGUGAUGCAUGGCAGAGGAAUUGGCACAGAGGCUGCUGGAGCCCUGGCCCUGAUGGCGAUCAUCAUGCUCUGAGCAUCAAGGAGGGAGGGAAGCAGGGGCUGGAGCCCAGGGGGCCCCCGAGCGGAGACAGAGCC
rnacentral:lncRNA from 1 species